CUGUUGUCUAAAAAUUUCAGAACACAUGAAACACUGUCUCAGAUUUAAGAAACAAAAGAGGACAUUUCCAUUUCACAUAUUAAAAGCUACAGUUAUAGCUUAUAGUGGCCCAAAUCUACCUCACACAUAAAUACAGCAUGAUUUACAACCCUUUAAGAUACAUGUUGUCAUUAAA